rfam:Echinostoma caproni strain Egypt genome assembly, scaffold: ECPE_scaffold0001543
UGCUGACGAGUCCCAAGCAGGACGAAACAGCUGUCCA